rnacentral:rRNA from 1 species
UGGGGAAUUUUGGACAAUGGGCGAAAGCCUGAUCCAGCAAUGCCGCGUGUGUGAAGAAGGCCUUCGGGUUGUAAAGCACUUUUGUCCGGAAAGAAAUCCUUGGCUCUAAUACAGUCGGGGGAUGACGGUACCGGAAGAAUAAGCACCGGCUAACUACGUGCCAGCAGCCGCGGUAAUACGUAGGGUGCAAGCGUUAAUCGGAAUUACUGGGCGUAAAGCGUGCGCAGGCGGUUUGCUAAGACCGAUGUGAAAUCCCCGGGCUCAACCUGGGAACUGCAUUGGUGACUGGCAGGCUAGAGUAUGGCAGAGGGGGGUAGAAUUCCACGUGUAGCAGUGAAAUGCGUAGAGAUGUGGAGGAAUACCGAUGGCGAAGGCAGCCCCCCUGGGCCAAUACUGACGCUCAUGCACGAAAGCGUGGGGAGCAAACAGGAUUAGAUACCCCUGGUAGUCCACGCCCCUAAACGAUGUCAACUAGUUGUUGGGGAUUCAUUUCCUUAGUAACGUAGCUAACGCGUGAAGUUGACCGCCUGGGGAGUACGGUCGCAAGAUUAAAA